rnacentral:tRNA from 1 species
GCCCCUAUAGCUCAAUUGGCAGAGCAUCUGACUCUUAAUCAGAGGGUCCUAGGUUCAAGUCCUAGUGGGGGCA